UACGUAGGGGGCCAGCGUUGUCCGGAAUCAUUGGGCGUAAAGCGCGCGUAGGCGGUCAGGUAAGUCCGGUGUGAAAGUCAUAGGCUCAACCUAUGGAUGCCGCUGGAAACUGCCUGACUUGAGUCCGGGAGGGGCGAGUGGAAUUCCUGGUGUAGCGGUGAAAUGCGCAGAUAUCAGGAAGAACACCGACGGCGAAGGCAGCUCGCUGGGACGGUACUGACGCUGAGGCGCGAAAGCGUGGGGAGCGAACAGG
rnacentral:rRNA from 1 species